rnacentral:tRNA from 1 species
AGCAGUGUGGCUCAGUGGAAAGAGCCUGGGCUCCGGAGUCAGCGGUCAUGGGUUCAACUCCCGGCUCUGCCA